AUGGGCCUCGAGGUAGCAGGUGGCGGGGAAGCUGCAGUUAAGGGGAAGUUCUGGGGUAUAGUUGUCUGUUUUUUCUUGGGAAAUGGAAGCCUAUUUGCCUGGAACAGUAUGCUUACCAUCGAGGAUUACUAUGUCUCUCUGUUCCCGAAUUACCAUCCGACAAGAGUUCUUACACUAGUAUACCAGCCUUUUGCCUUUGGACUCACCUGCUUCUUUGCAUACUAUGAAGCAACGAUGAACACGAGGAAGAGAAAUCUAGCUGGUUUUGCACUUUUCUUCCUUAGCUCUUUCGCGUUAAUAUUGCUGGACGUUGGUACUAAAGGACAUGGUGGAAUUCCAGCAUACAUUGGUGUAUGCAUAAUCAGUGCCUUUUUUGGGACAUCUGAUGCUCUUGUUCAAGGUGGCUUGGUUGGCGACCUUUCUUUGAUGUGCCCGGAGUUCAUUCAGUCCUUCCUGUCAGGCUUGGCUGCAUCAGGAGUUAUAACAUCAGCUUUGAGACUAAUUACAAAGGCAGCUUUCGAGAACUCACAAAAUGGUCUUCGAAAUGGAGCUAUGCUAUUCUUCUCGGUAACAUGCAUGUUCGAGCUAGCUUGCCUCCUCCUAUAUGCAUUUGUCUUUCCCAAAUUACCCAUCGUGAAGUACUACCGCCAAAAGGCAGCCUCUGAAGGGAGCAAGACUGUUGGCAGCGACCUUGCUGCUGCAGGAAUCAAAACUGAUCAAGAUAGGCAGGUUGAGGAGGAUCCCCAAAAGCACGGACGUUUAAGCACCAAGGAGCUGCUGAUGCAGAAUAUAGACUAUGCUUUGGAUAUCUUCCUGAUAUACGUCUUGACUCUAUCAAUCUUCCCUGGAUUUUUAUCCGAAGAUACUGGAUCACAUGGCCUGGGAACAUGGUACGCGCUUGUGCUGAUCACGAUGUACAAUGUGUUAGAUCUGAUUGGUAGGUACCUACCACUGAUCAAAUGCCUGAAGCUGACGAACCGGAAGGGCCUGAUGGUUGCCAUCUUGGCGCGCUUCCUGUUCAUCCCUGCGUUCUACUUCACGGCCAAGUAUGGCGACCAAGGGUACAUGAUCUUCCUCACGUCCUUUCUGGGACUGACCAACGGCUACCUCACCGUGUGCGUCCUCGCCGAAGCGCCAAAUGGGUACAAGGGGCCAGAGCAGAAUGCUCUGGGGAACGUGCUCGUGGUGUGCCUCCUCGGCGGCAUAUUCUCCGGCGUCGUGCUCGACUGGAUGUGGCUGAUAGGCAAGGGCUGGUAG
rnacentral:rRNA from 1 species